rnacentral:rRNA from 1 species
UACGGAGGGGGCUAGCGUUGUUCGGAAUUACUGGGCGUAAAGCGCACGUAGGCGGCUUUGUAAGUUAGAGGUGAAAGCCCAGGGCUUAACCCUGGAACUGCCUUUAAGACUGCAUCGCUAGAAUCGUGGAGAGGUGAGUGGAAUUUACGGUGUAGCAGUGAAAUGCGUAGAUAUCGUAAGGAAGACCAGUGGCGAAGGCGAGUCUCUGGACAGUUACUGACGCUGAGGCACGAAGGCCAGGGGAGCAAACGGG